rnacentral:rRNA from 1 species
UACAGAGGGUGCUAGCGUUGUUCGGAAUCAUUGGGCGUAAAGGGCUCGUAGGCGGCCAACUAAGUCAGACGUGAAAUCCCUCGGCUUAACCGGGGAACUGCGUCUGAUACUGGAUGGCUUGAGUUUGGGAGAGGGAUGCGGAAUUCCAGGUGUAGCGGUGAAAUGCGUAGAUAUCAGGAGGAACACCGGUGGCGAAGGCGGCUACCUGGACAGAAACUGACGCUGAGGCACGAAAGCUAGGGGAGCAAACAGG